AGUGAACGCUGGCGGUAGGCCUAACACAUGCAAGUCGAACGGCAGCACAGUAAGAGCUUGCUCUUACGGGUGGCGAGUGGCGGACGGGUGAGGAAUACAUCGGAAUCUACUUUUUCGUGGGGGAUAACGUAGGGAAACUUACGCUAAUACCGCAUACGACCUACGGGUGAAAGCAGGGGAUCUUCGGACCUUGCGCGAUUGAAUGAGCCGAUGUCGGAUUAGCUAGUUGGCGGGGUAAAGGCCCACCAAGGCGACGAUCCGUAGCUGGUCUGAGAGGAUGAUCAGCCACCCUGGAACUGAGACACGGUCCAGACUCCUACGGGAGGCAGCAGUGGGGAAUAUUGGACAAUGGGCGCAAGCCUGAUCCAGCCAUACCGCGUGGGUGAAGAAGGCCUUCGGGUUGUAAAGCCCUUUUGUUGGGAAAGAAGAGCAGCAGGUUAAUACCCCGCUGUUCUGACGGUACCCAAAGAAUAAGCACCGGCUAACUUCGUG
rnacentral:rRNA from 1 species